UCUAAGAUGGAAAAUUGUUGUGGUUACCAUGGUCGUUACAAAAUAAUGCAAAAAACUAUGGUAGACCCAAGUUAGUUUUCAUUAUGAAAGAAUUUGCUUUUUUAUCAUUCCAUAUUCUGACCAUGAAUACCAAUCAACUGGCCACAAUCCUUGUUUUUACUGAAAUUGAAAAUCUGACUAUAACUUAACUUUCUGAUCACGUAUGCUGAUAUUGAUAUGAUAAUUGGUGUGUGAAAAAUAUAACCGUGAAUUGAUAAAUGUUUAAACAGGAAAAAGCAAAUAUCACAGCUCAGAUAGCUUAUCAAAUGUGACACAACCAUGCCAGCUUUUAUUCAAGAGGAACAGACAGUCUGAUUAAAUCCUGGGAGGGUGUGUGGCCUCCUAUAUAUCCACAUUGAACACACUAUAGUUCCAUUACAAUUCCAUAUAAGGUCUUUGAUAUAAUCAGCAUAAACUUGUAGAAAAACUUUUGGUCUAUAGAUCUGCAUCAUUCCUGCCAAUUCUACUGUAGUAGAAGUUACUAGACCAACUUCAUUAAGUCUCAGUUUUCUCCUCAGAAAAUAAUUAUCAAAAGCAAAUUGGGGAUUGAAAAUGUUAGUAAGCCCUACAAUAUUCCUUCACAGCUGCCAUGCCUAUCAGAAUCUGAUCUGAUGAUAUACAGCAGCAACAGCUCAAGAUAAAUGUUAGGCAGUCUCAGUUCUUUGAUUUGUUAAGCAUAUUUUUUUCAAUAUCAUAUUGGAUAAAAAUGUUUUCUGAUAGUAUUCAGAGAAUCAAACUCGGUAUACAUGGUGCUUAAUGGAAGAACUGUAGGCAGUAGGAAGGGCUGGAUCCUCUCUGGUUUUAUUUUGAGAGAAUACCCUGAAGUCAGUAUUUCAAGGCUAGAUCAAAUAAGUGCAGUCAGUAUACAGAGGGAAAGAGUCUUUAAAUGUUUAAUGAUUUAUAGUGUUUUGAUGCUGAUUUAAAGAAAAACUGCUUAUCAUUAUUUUUUUUCCAACCCUUGUGUAAACAAAAUUAAUAAUCUAAAAUCACAGUGGACAUGUCAUGUACUUACAUAUCAUCUAGGUGUCAGUGUUGAAUGAUUAUAUUUCCUUUUUUUCUUGGCUUUGUAAGUGAAGUAAAUACUUUGACAAAAUAUUUCUUUUUCCUUUCCAAAAUGCAGCACUGUACAGGAUGUGGGGUAAGUGGCGUCCAAAAAAUUCUUGCGCUUGAUAGGUUGAGAUUUCCUUACAGACAAACACACUGUUUAAUUGUUGAAGUAUGUGUUUAGAUGAAUACGGUAUUUCCUGCUGCGUAAGGUGCUGCAUGUCUUAGUAAAAGAAAUCCUUGGAAAAAAAAAAAAGGUUUAAAAUGGAAACACAAUGAUGAUUCUAGUCACGUGAGUGUUUUUCUCUUGUGUGCGUUGGGCUGAAGUUGUGCUUUGCUGCUCCAUAGCCAUGCUGUCUAGCAUACUUUAUUACUUGUAGCUGAAAACCAGAAGUAAUACUUUAGGGAAUUAUCAUCACAUUUUCACUCUCUGAAUGAAAGGAGACUGUUAUCAAAAAGGGAUAUUUAGGUAUGCAUUUGUGCUUGCUGUUGAGGUGGAUCAGUGUGGUAUAUAAUUGAAAUACUGACAUACAAUAUUUGGCUUUUAAUAUGGUCAGCCAUUAGUGUACAGGCAUAGCGUGAGCCUAUCCACUGAUCCACCAAAACAAAGCCUGUCAGCACUUGAGAAAUGCUUUAACCUAACAAUGCUGGGUGAAGAAAAUAAAUAAAAACUCUACGCUUUGGAGAUUAAAAGCAACAAGCUGACUUUGAGCCUGGGAGUUCGCUACAUCAAGCUGAACAUCUUAGUCGAAGUGCUCUGGUGCUUCGCAGUGGCAUGCAGCCAUACUGAGCAGACCGAGCGAUUUGUUAUGAUGCUGCAAGGUGUGACCUGGCAGUAACGAGUUAACAUAGUUAACACUUGCGUGUGUAUGUGCUUAUGGGCUUAGUAUAACUCUUGGACCUCUUUUACCUUGGGCAGAUCCAUGGUCAAACUAGUCAUGUUGUCAGAGGCAUUUUCUUUGAUGUUUAAGGGGGGGGGGUAAUGCAUCCCAAGUGGCAGGAAGUAUGGUAUGUCUUCUUUAUCCAUUUUUCUCUUUAUCAAUAUCUAUUUUUCUCUGCCUUUAUAUUUUCCUCUCUUUCAUUGAUUUUGCCCUUUCCCAAGAAAAUCAAAAAGAAAAAACAGGGAUGGAACUAAGGCAUAUUUAGCCUUUUUGUCUGCAUUGCUUCUCUUUCAUAUUCUCUUUUUAUUUGUCUCUUUGGCUCUCCUUGCCGGCUGUCUUGCUAGUCCCACCGUGACCCUCUCUUUGUCUUUCCAUUCCAGCUCUUUCCCUGGUCCCACUGAUCCUCUCUCUUCCCCUCUUCUAAUGCCUUAGGUCCACUUUCCUCUUUCCCUUUCUUCUCUUCACCUCUCGCCACUCUCUCUCAACCUCCCCCACCCCUUUUCCAUCAGUGAAAAAGAGGAAAGACGACUGUGCCUAACCUUGAGUCUUCCCCCCCACUUCCAGCCCCAGACCCAAACUUCAACCAGUUCAGCCCCAGUGGACCCAUGAACGGGACAGCAGCGGCAGCUGCUACAACCAACAAUGGGGCUUGGGCCAGCUUCAGCCAGCAGACACCACAGCAACAGCAGCCUAAUCCCAAAAUGCAGUGGAUGACCAGCAAUGGAACGGCAAACCCUUUCAUGGCUGCCCCACAGCUGCCUUCCAAUGGCACCUCCUACAACCCGUUCCUGUGAGAGUCCUCGCAGCCUCCGCAAGAUCUUCCUACGACAGGGACAUGUCUGUGAAACGUUUAUCUAUUGCCAAUGACCGAUGACCCCAGCCAUCUUUUCCUUGAAUACUCAGUUAAUUUAAUUUUUUUUUUUGUAACUUAUGCAGUGGUGUUUUAUGGAAAAAAUCCAUGUUGCCAAUCACAGUUUAGUUCUCGAUGUGAAAGCAUAUAAUCAUUAUGAAGAGCAGAAGGAAUACUGGAUGAUUAUGAUAAUUAUAAAGAAUAGAGAAGCAAAAGCAAACAAGUGUGAGCAACGCAGGUUUUUAGCUUAUAAGAGUUUUUAAACGCUUCAGUGUCGAGUUUAGGGUCUGAGUACCACAAUGGUCUUCUUUUUCUCUUCUGUGUGAAAAGGUUAAUUAUUGGGAUCAUGGGGACUGGUGGGCAUUUUUUAUGUAGUGUAGAAAGCAAGUGCUAAAGCAUCCUCAUUAAGGGCCAUGACCUGCUCUGUGGUCAUGGGAAAAGUUACAAACAACACAUUAAAUAUAAGCCUGUUGACUAUACUGAUGCAUUGUACAGAAUCAAAAUUGCCCAGAUUUUGCUGUAGUAAUCAAGUCAGUGCCCUUACUCCUACUCCCCCUCCCCCCCUCUCCUUUUCUAUUCUCUCUCUCUCUCUCUCUCUCUCUCUCUCUCUCUCUCUCUCUCUCUCUCUCUCUCUCUCUCUCUCUCUCUCUCUCUCUCUCUCUCUCUCUCUCUCUCUCUUUCUCUCUUUCUUUCUUUCUUUCUUUCUCCCGUCCCUCCCUCCCCCUCCUCCUUCCUCUCCAUUUAUACUCUUCAUAGUCCUCCUUUCACCACUCUGUGAGGAAAUGGAAUGUGAUCAUUUAUUUUCCUGUGGUGUUACAGGUGCAAAUCACAGAACAAAAUCAUAUUAUUACUUGUAGAUAAGAUUUCACCUUUGUUGCUCAUAAUUUCAUUGCAUUAUAGUCAUUGUGUUUAUUUAAUUAACUUGUUAAGGGGAAGUUCUCACAUAUGUCCAGAAUGUGAAGCUUGGGCAUUGUUGUGAAAACAAACAAACAAAAAAACAAAACAAAAAAAAUGUAUUUGAAUGUUCAAACUCACUUAAGAACCACAGAUGUUUGCAGGAGUUCAGGUUGGUGCUUCCGGUCUUGAAUGUGAGUGCAUGAAGGAACAGACAGCAUCUUUUGUUAACAUGAUUUAGGUUAUUGGAGUCUGUUGGCAGUUUUCCAAGGAAAUAUUCAAACAUUUAUUAUUUUUCUUGCUUUUUCUCUGUUUUUUUUUCACAAUUGAAGUCUCUUUCAGGGACUUUACAGUUCUUCCUCAUUUUUUAAUUUUUGUUUAAAACGAUAAAAUGUAUCUUGCAACACAAACCAGGAACAAUAGAAUAUUGAAAUGAAAAUUGUAUAGUCAAACUAA